CCUACGGGGGGCUGCAGUGGGGAAUAUUGCGCAAUGGGCGAAAGCCUGACGCAGCAACGCCGCGUGAGGGAUGAAGGCCUUCGGGUUGUAAACCUCUGUCGAAGGGGAAGAAACGUUUUAAGGUAAAUAAUCUUAGAAUUUGACGGUACCCUUAAAGGAAGCACCGGCUAACCUCGUGCCAGCAGCCGCGGUAAUACGAGGGGUGCAAGCGUUGUUCGGAAUUACUGGGCGUAAAGCGCGUGUAGGUGGUUGAAUGUGUCGAAUGUGAAAGCCCU
rnacentral:rRNA from 1 species